rnacentral:rRNA from 1 species
AUAUGCUUGUCUCAAAGAUUAAGCCAUGCAUGUUUAAGCAGAAGCCGCACAACGGUAAAGCCGCGAAUGGCUCAUUACAACAGCCGUCGUUUCUUGGAUCUCUAAAUUUACUUGGAUAACUGUGGUAAUUCUAGAGCUAAUACACGCACUAAAGCUCUGACCUUACGGGACGAGCGCAUUUAUUAGAACAAAACCAAUCGGGUUUCGGCCCGUUCGUUGGUGACUCUGAAUAACUCUGCCGAUCGCACGGUCUCGCACGGCGACGUAUCUUUCAAGUGUCUGCCUUAUCAACUUUCGAUGGUAGUUUAUGUGCCUACCAUGGUUGUAACGGGUAACGGAGAAUAAGGGUUCGACUCCGGAGAGGGAGCCUGAGAAACGGCUACCACAUCCAAGGAAGGCAGCAGGCGCGCAAAUUACCCACUCUCGGCACGAGGAGGUAGUGACGAAAAAUAACGAGACGGAUCUCUUUGAGGCCCGUUAUCGGAAUGAGAACAAUUCAAAUCCUUUAACGAGGAUCUAGCGGAGGGCAAGUCUGGUGCCAGCAGCCGCGGUAAUUCCAGCUCCGCAGGUGUAUAUCUAUGCUGCUGCGGUUAAAAAAGCUCGUAGUUGGAUCUGCGUGCUCGGAACUGGUUGGCUCAUUGAGCUCAUACUGGUCUCCGGCGCUUUAUUGGCUGGUUUUCCCUUGAUGCUCUUAACCGGGUGUCUUGGGUGGCUAGCACGUUUACUUUGAAAAAAUUAGAGUGCUCAAUACAGGCGCAAAGCCUUGAAUAGUGGUGCAUGGAAUAAUAGAAUAGGACCUCGGCUCUAUUUUGUUGGUUUUCGGAACGCGGGGUAAUGAUUAAGAGGGACAGACGGGGGCAUUCGUAUUGCGACGUUAGAGGUGAAAUUCUUGGAUCGUCGCAAGACGGACGACUGCGAAAGCAUUUGCCAAGAAUGUUUUCAUUAAUCAAGAACGAAAGUUAGAGGUUCGAAGGCGAUCAGAUACCGCCCUAGUUCUAACCGUAAACGAUGCCAACUAGCGAUUCGCAGGCGUUAAACAACGACCUUGCGGGCAGCUUCCCGGAAACGAAAGUGUUCGGGUUCCGGGGGAAGUAUGGUUGCAAAGCUGAAACUUAAAGGAAUUGACGGAAGGGCACCACCAGGAGUGGAGCCUGCGGCUUAAUUUGACCCAACACGGGAAAACUCACCCGGCCCGGACACCGUAAGGAUUGACAGAUUGAGAGCUCUUUCUUGAUUCGGUGGGUGGUGGCGCAUGGCCGUUCUUAGUUGGUGGAGCGAUUUGUCUGGUUUAUUCCGAUAAC